CCUACGGGAGGCUGCAGUGGGGGAUAUUGCACAAUGGGGGGAACCCUGAUGCAGCGACGCCGCGUGGGUGAAGAAGCGCCUCGGCGCGUAAAGCCCUGUCAGCAGGGAAGAAAAUGACGGUACCUGAAGAAGAAGCCCCGGCUAACUACGUGCCAGCAGCCGCGGUAAUACGUAGGGGGCAAGCGUUAUCCGGAUUUACUGGGUGUAAAGGGGGCGCAGACGGCGAUGCAAGCCAGGAGUGAAAGCCCGGGGCCCAACCCCGGGACUGCUCUUGGAACUGCGGGGCUGGAGUGCAGGAGGGGCAGGCGGAAUUCCUGGUGUAGCGGUGGAAUGCGUAGAUAUCAGGAGGAACACCGGUGGCGAAGGCGGCCUGCUGGACUGCAACUGACGUUGAGGCCCGAAAGCGUGGGGAGCAAACAGGAUUAGAUACCCUAGUAGUC
rnacentral:rRNA from 1 species